CAGCAGCCGCGGUAAUACGUAGGUGGCAAGCGUUGUUCGGAAUUACUGGGCGUAAAGGGUGCGCAGGCGGCUCUGUGCGUCGGGCGUGAAAGGCCUGGGCUUAACCUGGGAAUGGCGCUUGAAACUACGGGGCUGGAGUAUGGCAGAGGGAGGUGGAAUUCCACGUGUAGCGGUGAAAUGCGUAGAGAUGUGGAGGAACACCGAUGGCGAAGGCAGCCUCCUGGGCCAAUACUGACGCUCAUGCACGAAAGCGUGGGGAGCAAACAGGAUUAGAUACCCUGGUAGUCCUAGCCGUAAACGUUGGGUGCUAGGUGUGGGUGGACAUCGACCCCAUCCGUGCCGAAGCUAACGCAUUAAGCACCCCGCCUGGGGAGUACGGCCGCAAGGCUAAAACUCAAAGGAAUUGACGG
rnacentral:rRNA from 1 species